UUGAAGUAAAAGUCGUAACAAGGUCUCCGUUGGUGAACCAGCGGAGGGAUCAUUACUGAGUUUACGCUCUACAACCCUUUGUGAACAUACCUAUAACUGUUGCUUCGGCGGGUAGGGUCUCCGCGACCCUCCCGGCCUCCCGCCUCCGGGCGGGUCGGCGCCCGCCGGAGGAUAACCAAACUCUGAUUUAACGACGUUUCUUCUGAGUGGUACAAGCAAAUAAUCAAAACUUUUAACAACGGAUCUCUUGGUUCUGGCAUCGAUGAAGAACGCAGCGAAAUGCGAUAAGUAAUGUGAAUUGCAGAAUUCAGUGAAUCAUCGAAUCUUUGAACGCACAUUGCGCCCGCCAGCAUUCUGGCGGGCAUGCCUGUUCGAGCGUCAUUUCAACCCUCAAGCUCUGCUUGGUGUUGGGGCCCUACAGCCGAUGUAGGCCCUCAAAGGUAGUGGCGGACCCUCCCGGAGCCUCCUUUGCGUAGUAACUUUACGUCUCGCACUGGGAUCCGGAGGGACUCUUGCCGUAAAACCCCCCAAUUUUCCAAAGGUUGACCUCGGAUCAGG
rnacentral:rRNA from 1 species